AUUGAACGCUGGCGGCAGGCCUAACACAUGCAAGUCGAACGGAUGAAGAGAGCUUGCUCUCUGAUUCAGCGGCGGACGGGUGAGUAAUGCCUAGGAAUCUGCCUGGUAGUGGGGGACAGCGUUUCGAAAGGAACGCUAAUACCGCAUACGUCCUACGGGAGAAAGUGGGGGAUCUUCGGACCUCACGCUAUCAGAUGAGCCUAGGUACGAUUAGCUAGUUGGUGAAGUAAAGGCUCACGAAGGCGACGAUCGUUAACUGGUCUGAGAGGAUGAUCAGUCACACUGGAACUGAGACACGGUACAGACUCCUACGGGAGGCAGCAGUGGGGAAUAUUGGACAAUGGGCGAAAGCCUGAUCCAGCCAUGCCGCGUGUGUGAAGAAGGUCUUCGGAUUGUAAAGCACUUUAAGUUGGGAGGAAGGGCAGUAAGUUAAUACCUUGCUGUUUUGACGUUACCGACAGAAUAAGCACCGGCUAACUUCGUGCCAGCCGCCGCAGUAACAC
rnacentral:rRNA from 1 species